rnacentral:rRNA from 1 species
GACGAACGCUGGCGGCGUGCCUAAUACAUGCAAGUAGAACGCUGAAGGAGGAGCUUACUUCUCUGGAUGAGUUGCGAACGGGUGAGUAACGCGUAGGUAACCUGCCUGGUAGCGGGGGAUAACUAUUGGAAACGAUAGCUAAUACCGCAUAAGAGUAGAUGUUGCAUGACAUUUACCUAAAAGGUGCAAUUGCACCACUACAAGAUGGACCUGGGUUGUAUUAGCUAGUUGGUGGGGUAACGGCUUACCAAGGCGACGAUACAUAGCCGACCUGAGAGGGUGAUCGGCCACACUGGGACUGAGACACGGCCCAGACUCCUACGGGAGGCAGCAGUAGGGAAUCUUCGGCAAUGGACGGAAGUCUGACCGAGCAACGCCGCGUGAGUGAAGAAGGUUUUCGGAUCGUAAAGCUCUGUUGUAAGAGAAGAACGAGUGUGAGAGUGGAAAGUUCACACUGUGACGGUAUCUUACCAGAAAGGGACGGCUAACUACGUGCCAGCCGCCGCGGUAA